AACGCACAUUGCGCCCCUUGGUAUUCCAUUGGGCAUGCCUGUUCGAGCGUCAUUUAACCCCUCAAGCACUGCUUGGUGUUGGGCGUUUGUCUGCGUAUCUAGCACGGACUCGCCCCAAAAGAAUUGGCAGCGGCUUGCCGGCCUCUUGCGCAGCACUUUGCGCUCCUUGAGGAUCCGGUAGGCUUGCGUCCAUCAAGAUCACCCCCAGUUUGACCUCGAAUCAGGUAGGGAUACCCGCUGAACUUAA
rnacentral:misc_RNA from 1 species